UCGAGAAUAUUCCACAAUGGGCGAAAGCCUGAUGGAGCGACGCCGCGUGGAGGAAGAAGGCCUUCGGGUUGUAAACUCCUUUUCUAUGUGAAGAAGACCACUUCGUGUGGUUUGACAUUAGUAUAGGAAUAAGAGGUUGCUAACUCUGUGCCAGCAGCAGCGGUAAUACAGAGACCUCGAGCGUUAUCCGGAUUUAUUGGGCGUAAAGGGCGCGUAGAAGGCAUAGUGCGUCUUGUGUUAAAUCUUACCGCUUAACGGUAAACCUGCACAAGAUACGGCUUUGCUAGAGGGCAUCAGAGGUACAUAGAACGCACGGUGUAGGGGUGAAAUCCGUUGAUAUCGUGCGGAAUACCAAAGGCGAAGGCAGUGUACUGGGAUGUUCCUGACUUUGAGGCGCGAA
rnacentral:rRNA from 1 species